GACCAGACUCCUACGGGAGGCAGCAGUGGGGAAUAUUGCACAAUGGGGGAAACCCUGAUGCAGCGACGCCGCGUGAGUGAAGAAGUAUUUCGGUAUGUAAAGCUCUAUCAGCAGGGAAGAAAAUGACGGUACCUGACUAAGAAGCCCCGGCUAACUACGUGCCAGCAGCCGCGGUAAUACGUAGGGGGCAAGCGUUAUCCGGAUUUACUGGGUGUAAAGGGAGCGUAGACGGCAUGGCAAGUCAGAUGUGAAAGCCCGGGGCUCAACCCCGGGACUGCAUUUGAAACUGUCAGGCUGGAGUGCAGGAGAGGUAAGUGGAAUUCCUAGUGUAGCGGUGAAAUGCGUAGAUAUUAGGAGGAACACCAGUGGCGAAGGCGGCUUACUGGACUGUAACUGACGUUGAGGCUCGAAAGCGUGGGGAGCAAACAGGAUUAGAUACCCGAGUAUAA
rnacentral:rRNA from 1 species